UACAGAGGUGGCAAGCGUUGUUCGGAAUUACUGGGCGUAAAGGGCGCGUAGGCGGUUCGUUAAGUCCUGUGUGAAAUCCCCCGGCUCAACUGGGGAACUGCACAGGAAACUAGCGGGCUUGAGUUCGGGAGAGGGAAGCGGAAUUCCGGGUGUAGCGGUGGAAAUGCGUAGAUAUCCGGAAGGAACACCGGGUGGCGAAGGCGGCUCCUGGACCGACA
rnacentral:rRNA from 1 species